rnacentral:rRNA from 1 species
CCUACGGGCGGCAGCAGUGAGGAAUAUUGGUCAAUGGACGAGAGUCUGAACCAGCCAAGUCGCGUGAAGGAUGACUGCCCUAUGGGUUGUAAACUUCUUUUAUAUGGGAAUAAAAUGUUCCAAGUGUGGGAUUUUGUAUGUACCAUAUGAAUAAGGAUCGGCUAACUCCGUGCCAGCCGCCGCGGUAAUACGGAGGGUCCGAGCGUUAUCCGGUUUUAUUGGGGUUAAAGGGAGCGUAGGUGGUUUGGUAAGUCAUUUGUGAAGGUUUGCGGCUCAACCGUAAAAUUGCAAGUGAAACUGGAAGUCUUGAGUACAGUAGAGGAGUGCGGAAUUCGUGGUGUAGCGGUGAAAUGCUUAGAUAUCACGAAGAACUCCGAUUGCGAAGGCAGCUCACUGGACGGAAACUGACACUGAGGCGCGAAAGUGUGGGUAGCAAACAGGAUUAGAUACCCGUGUAGUC